UGGGGAAUAUUGGACAAUGGGCGAAAGCCUGAUCCAGCCAUGCCGCGUGAGUGAUGAAGGCCCUAGGGUUGUAAAGCUCUUUUGUGCGGGAAGAUAAUGACGGUACCGCAAGAAUAAGCCCCGGCUAACUUCGUGCCAGCAGCCGCGGUAAUACGAAGGGGGCUAGCGUUGCUCGGAAUCACUGGGCGUAAAGGGUGCGUAGGCGGGUUUCUAAGUCAGAGGUGAAAGCCUGGAGCUCAACUCCAGAACUGCCUUUGAUACUGGAAGUCUGGAGUGCGGGAGAGGUGAGUGGAACUGCGAGUGUAGAGGUGAAAUUCGUAGAUAUUCGCAAGAACACCAGUGGCGAAGGCGGCUCACUGGCCCGAUACUGACGCUGAGGCACGAAAGCGUGGGGAGCAAACA
rnacentral:rRNA from 1 species